UACGUAGGGGGCAAGCGUUGUCCGGAUUUAUUGGGCGUAAAGAGCGUGUAGGCGGUUAGGUAGGUCCGUUGUGAAAACUCGAGGCUCAACCUCGAGACGCCGAUGGAAACCAUCUAACUAGAGUCCGGAAGAGGAGAAUGGAAUUCCAGGUGUAGCGGUGAAAUGCGUAGAUAUCUGGAGGAACACCGGUGGCGAAGGCGGCAUCCUGGACCAACACUGACACUGAGGAGCGAAAGCCAGGGGAGCAAACGGG
rnacentral:rRNA from 1 species